rnacentral:lncRNA from 1 species
AGCAAUGUAAGGAUGGAGGGCUGGCCAAGUCCAUCUAUAUGCUGCCAUUUGGCCCCCAUUUCUAACAGCAAUGCAGAGUCCGUAUGAUGUUGGAACCUUCCCAUUUCUUAAAAUCCUGGGCCCUCCUAUUUCUUACAGUAAUGUAAAAUCAGGAGCCUUCCUAUUUUUUACAGCAGUGUAAAGUCCGUAUGAUGUUGGCUCUAAUUUUGGCCCCUAUUUAUGUCGAUCUUG